rnacentral:rRNA from 1 species
AUACGGAGGGUGCAAGCGUUGUCCGGAUUUAUUGGGUUUAAAGGGUGCGUAGGUGGUUUUUUAAGUCAGUGGUGAAAGCCUACAGUUUAACUGUAGAGGUGCCAUUGAUACUGGGGAACUUGAGUAUGGACGAGGUAGGCGGAAUUUGUGGUGUAGCGGUGAAAUGCAUAGAUACCACAAGGAACACCGAUAGCGAAGGCAGCUUACUGGGCCAUAACUGACACUGAGGCACGAAAGCGUGGGGAGCGAACAGGAGUAGGAACCCCAGUAGUCC